rnacentral:rRNA from 1 species
AUUGAACGCUGGCGGCAGGCCUAACACAUGCAAGUCGAACGAGUGGCGGACGGGUGAGUAAUGUCUGGGAAACUGCCUGCUGGAGGGGGAAAACUACUGGAAACGGUAGCUAAUACCGCAUACCAUCGGAUGUGCCCAGAUGGGAUUAGCGAGUAGGUGGGGUAAAGGCUCACCUAGGCGACGAUCCCUAGCUGGUCUGAGAGGAUGACCAGCCACACUGGAACUGAGACGCGGACCAGACUCCUACGGGAGGCCGCAGUGGGGAAUAUUGGACAAUGGGCGCAAGCCUGAUGCAGCCAUGCCGCGUGUAUGAAGAAGGCCCUCGGGUUGUAAAGUACUUUCAGCGGGGAGGCGUUACCGGCAGAAGAAGCACCGGCUAACUCCGUGCCAGCAGCCGCGGUAAUAC